rnacentral:rRNA from 1 species
GACGAACGCUGGCGGCGUGCUUAACACAUGCAAGUCGAACGGUGAAGGGACUGGUUUUGCUGGUCCUGGAUGAGUGGCGAACGGGUGAGUAACACGUGAGUAACCUGCCCCCUUCUUCUGGAUAACCGCAUGAAAGUGUGGCUAAUACGGGAUAUUCUGGGUCUGUCGCAUGGUGGGCCUGGGAAAGAUUGCGCCUUUUUUGGUGUUUUUGGUGGGGGAUGGGCUCGCGGCCUAUCAGCUUGUUGGUGGGGUGAUGGCCUACCAAGGCGGUGACGGGUAGCCGGCCUGAGAGGGUGGACGGUCACACUGGGACUGAGACACGGCCCAGACUCCUACGGGAGGCAGCAGUGGGGAAUAUUGCACAAUGGGCGCAAGCCUGAUGCAGCGACGCCGCGUGAGGGAUGGAGGCCUUCGGGGUGUGAACCUCUUUCGCCAGUGAAGCAGGCCUGCCUCUUUUUGUGGGUGGGUUGACGGUAGCUGGAGAAGAAGCGCCGGCUAACUACGUG